CUUUUUCUCCUAUCUUACUCUGUUGAUUUCCAAUUAGGGCAGCCCGGUACACUAAACUGCCACUAUGCUCGGGGUCCGGGGAAGAGACAGACCACAAGGGGUAUAUUGUAUAGGCUAUUUUCACGGCUCGAACCGGGAUCUCCUGGCUGCAAUUUUACCAGUUACACCAACCGAGGGUCUUCCGGAAACAGCUUCCCUCCCUAAGGUAGGGGUAAGGUUUGCGUACAAUCUACCCUCCCCAGACCCCACAUUGUGGGACUCACUGGGUGUGUUGUUGUUGUUGUUGUUGUACUUGUUUGAUACCCUUCCCAGACUCCACUUGUAGGAUUACACUGGAUAUGUUGUUGUUAUUGUUGUUAUUUCUUUAUACCUGUAUUUUGAGAAGCAUGACAAUGGGUUCUGUUUAUUUGCUCAACAUUUUUCCUUUAGACCGUCUAUAAUAAUGAAUGAUGAUGGUGACUGUGUUUCUAUUGGAGCUAGGCUCUUUAUUAAAUAAAUGGAGGUAAUAAAUUGUUGAAUCUUAUUAAUAAU